AACGAACGCUGGCGGCAGGCCUAACACAUGCAAGUCGAGCGCGCCUUCGGGUGCGCGCCUGAUGGGUGAGUAACGCGAGGGAAUAUGCCCUUCUCUACGGCAUAGUCCUGUGAAACUGGGGGUAAUCCCGUAUCCGCCCUGUGGGCGCAAGAUUUAUCGGGGAAGGAUUCGCCCGCGUGGGAUUAGGUAGUUGGUGGGGUACUGGCCUACCACGCCGACGAUCCAUAGCUGGUUUGAGAGGAUGACCAGCCACACUGGGACUGAGACACGGCCCAGACUCCUGCGGGAGGCAGCAGUGGGGGAUCUGAGACAAUGGCGGCAACCCUGACCUAUCCAUGCCGCGGGACUCAUGAAGGCCUUAGCGUUGUAUAGCUCGUUAAGAUGGGAAGAUAAUGACGGUACCAGCAGAAGAAGCCCCGGCUAACUUCGUG
rnacentral:rRNA from 1 species